UACGGAGGGUGCAAGCGUUAUCCGGAUUCACUGGGUUUAAAGGGUGCGUAGGCGGCCCGGUAAGUCAAAGGUGAAAUCCCUCGGCUCAACUGAGGAACUGCCUUUGAAACUGUCGGGCUUGAGGCCGGGAGGGGGUAGCGGAAUUCCCAGUGUAGCGGUGAAAUGCGUAGAUAUUGGGAGGAACACCGGUGGCGAAGGCGCUACCUGGACCGGUUCUGACGCUGAUGCGCGAAAGCGUGGGUAGCAAACAGG
rnacentral:rRNA from 1 species